UUCUGGUUUUUUUUUUUUGUUGCUGGUUAAUUUUUAAAUAACAUUUUAAAAAAGCUUUGAGCGUGCCAUGUCAUAAAAAUGCACGUCAUGCUCGUAUAAAUUCUGUGGGCGAACAGAACGUAACCCAACCCGUACAGCAUCUGCUGCAGAUAAGACUAAAGCUAUUGAGUGGCAUGGGUACGGGUAAUACCCUAGUGUAUCAAAAUAAAGAGAGUGCGUAUAAAAUAUAUAUAUAUAAACAAUUUAUUUUAUAAAAGCCUUUUACAGCCUUUCAGAGGCUUUAUUAAAAAGAAAAUUUGUUUGAAAAUUUGUUUGUCAGAUAAUUCUCUGAAAUUUCUACAAAAAUAAUAGUCUCUUGAUUCGAAUGUGUAGAGCAUAUCCCAUGGAUCUAGGGCUGUUGACAACUGAUAAGCGAAAGCUGUAACCAUUGGACGAUGAUACAGUCCGCAAACAGGGGGCGAAAAAUCGAGACAUCAGAGAACCGGAGAGAGAGAUGAUCCAUUGUGAGAUGCGGGAACCAGAGACCAGAGAUAAUACACCGAAGCUUUUGUUUUUUUUAUGAACUCUUAAUCAGUAACAACCUGAUAUAGUACAUAUAUUUAAUACCCGACACAUCGUUCGACAUUGUCAAUGAAAUAAUAUUUUCAUUGAUGUUAGGCCUGCUAAUGAAAAUCCAAUUUUGAACGGAAGUAUCCCACCCAGUUACCGACACAGAUGGCUGGAAAUCAAAGUGCAAACUACAUUCUCAAACAACUAAUUGGAUUAACUUGACAACAAAAAAGGCGAACGAACGAGUUGGAGAAGGAGUUCGAGGCAGCCAGAAUGUCACCAGAAUUGAAGGAAAGGAAACUUUGUCUUUGGGAAACUCCUCGGAAAAACCACAUGAGCUUUUUCGUCACAUGUCUGAAGCGACACAUGAGUGUAGAAGAGACGACGACUCUUCUGUCACUGUUCUGUUGAGCUCGUUUCUGGUUCAAACCUAAAAACUGCAAAAUGUACAGAAAAUUUAAUUAAAAAAGGAUUUUCGGCCUGGCCUGGCCUGGCCUGGCUUGGAAAAGUUGCUUGGCUUCGCUGA